CAGCAGCCGCCGCGGGAAUACGGAGGGUGCAAGCGUUAAUCGGAAUUACUGGGCGUAAAGCGCACGCAGGCGGUCUGUCAAGUCAGAUGUGAAAUCCCCGGGCUUAACCUGGGAACUGCAUUUGAAACUGGCAGGCUAGAGUCUUGUAGAGGGGGGUAGAAUUCCAGGUGUAGCGGUGAAAUGCGUAGAGAUCUGGAGGAAUACCGGUGGCGAAGGCGGCCCCCUGGACAAAGACUGACGCUCAGGUGCGAAAGCGUGGGGAGCAAACAGGAUUAGAUACCCCUGUAGUCCCUGUCUCUUAUAC
rnacentral:rRNA from 1 species